UUGAAGGACUUGGAGAGAGAGUCAUAUAGUUCACAAAACUUACCUUUAUAGUAAGGAUAAGGUUUAUUCUUAUUUUUAUGUAGAAGUUAAUUAUUUGAUGGUAUAUUUUACACACUCCAAACCAGUUAUAAUGACUUUUUCAUUUAAAUAUCAUCUACUUAUUUCAGUAUCAUUUUUGUGGGUUGUGGUGCUUGAUUUUGUGGCAUCUGAUCCCUCCAGAACUCUGUGGGGUCCCAUUCUUUUUGAAUAGCAGGAGUUUAAGAUGAAGAUAAAUUUAGUUUUGAUUUGGGAACUUUGUGAAUAUGUUCUGAAAUAGAAGGCAGUAUCCUAAGGCAUCACAGAGUUAUGGUUCAGUUUUGCUAUUCAGCACGGGUGUCUUAACCAACUGAAAUUUAUUUCUCACAGCACAGUUCUAGAAGUCCAAGAUCAAGGUGUCAGCAGAUUCGGUGUGUGGACAGGCUGAGCCCACUAGACCAGCAAGUUGCCUGGCUGGAAGAUGCAAGUUUCUCCCUGGUGUUUAUCAACAGAUGACUUCUGAUGGAAUGAAUCCUAGGAGAAAUAGAAGAGAUAUUAAAAACUCUUUAAAUGAGACUAAAAGAACAUCUCUGAAAGCAUUUUCUGUACAAAUAUAAUGUUUCAUGUUCAUACAGAAUUUAAGAUUAAUAAAGGAUCUUAAUCGUGUCUGUGCUUCUACCAUACUGCAUAUUGUUUGGUGAGCCUUAGUCUACUUUUAAGACCUCUAUUGAAAAUAGUUAAGCAUAGAAGAAAACCGAUUCAUUACUUUUGGCUUUCCUCUUUAAAAGAGAAGUUUGGGUGGAGGGAAAAAAAAAGUCAUAUUACCUUAGAAUAAAGGUCA